CGCCAGAUAGCUCAGUUGGUAGAGCACCUGACUAGAGAAUCAGGGGGCCCGGGUUCGAAACCCGGUCUGGUCC
rfam:Crassostrea gigas strain 05x7-T-G4-1.051#20 contig12813, whole genome shotgun sequence.